rnacentral:rRNA from 1 species
UACGUAGGGUGCGAGCGUUAAUCGGAAUUACUGGGCGUAAAGCGUGCGCAGGCGGUUGUGCAAGACAGAUGUGAAAUCCCCGGGCUUAACCUGGGAACUGCAUUUGUGACUGCACGGCUAGAGUGUGUCAGAGGGGGGUAGAAUUCCACGUGUAGCAGUGAAAUGCGUAGAGAUGUGGAGGAAUACCGGUGGCGAAGGCGGCAUCCUGGACCGGCAUUGACGCUGAUGAGCGAAAGCUAGGGGAGCAAACGGG